CCUACGGGAGGCAGCAGUGAGGAAUAUUGGUCAAUGGACGAGAGUCUGAACCAGCCAAGUAGCGUGAAGGAUGAAUGCCCUAGGGGUUGUAAACUUCUUUUAUAGAGAAAUAAAACGAGGCACGUGUGCCUUUUUGCAUGUACUUUAUGAAUAAGGAUCGGCUAACUACGUGCCAGCAGCCGCGGUAAUACGGAGGAUCCGAGCGUUAUCCGGAUUUAGUGGGUUUAAAGGGAGCGUAGAUGGGUUGUUAAGUCAGUUGUGAAAGUUUGCGGCUCAACCGUAAAAUUGCAAUUGAUACUGGCAGUCUUGAGUACAGUUGAGGUAGGCGGAAUUCGUGGUGUAGCGGUGAAAUGCUUAGAUAUCACGAAGAACCCCGAUUGCGAAGGCAGCUUACUAAACUGUGACUGACAUUGAUGCUCGAAAGUGUGGGUAUCAAACAGGAUUAGAUACCCCUGUAGUC
rnacentral:rRNA from 1 species